GAUGAAGAACGCAGCGAAAUGCGAUAAGUAGUGUGAAUUGCAGAAUUCAGUGAAUCAUCGAAUCUUUGAACGCACAUUGCGGCCAUAGGUAUUCCUUUGGCCAUGCCUGUUCGAGCGUCAUUUACACCCUCAAGCCUAGCUUGGUGUUGGGCGUCUGUCCCGCCGUUUUCGCGCGCGGACUCGCCUCAAAGUCAUUGGCGGCGGUCGUGCCGGCCCCCUCGCGCAGCACAUUUGCGCUUCUCGGAGGCCCGGCGGAUCCGCGCUCCAGCAAGACCUUUCACGACUUGACCUCGGAUCAGGUAGGGAUACCCGCUGAAUUUAAGCAUAUCAAUAAGCGGAGGA
rnacentral:misc_RNA from 1 species